UGUCAUCUUUCUCUUUGUGUUAUGUUGUCGUGGGUGUGGAUUUGAAACCCAAUAUCAUAUCUUGCCGACAUAUCUUAAACAAAAAAUAUAUAUAUACUUAAAAUUUUUACACAAAAUUCUUAUUUUUUUCUUUGCGUUUGGGAAUUUUUUUUUUUUUUUCAAUUUGUGUUUUCUUUCGGGUUGGGAAAGGGCUUCCAUCUUCCUUUCUGGUUUAUGUUGUCGUGGGUGUGGAUUUGAAACCCACUUUUCAUCUCUCACCGACAUAUCUAAAAAGAAAAAAAAAUCCUUAGAAUUUGUACCUAAAUUUGUUAUUUUUUUCUCUGCAUUUAGGAAAUUUUUUUUUCUCAAUUUCUAUUUUCUUUCGGGUUGGGAAAGGGCUUCCAUUUGCAAGUCAAUUGUCUUCCUCUCUGUAUGUCAUCGUGGGUGUGGAUUUGAACCCCACUUUUCAUCUAUUGCCAACAUAUCUAAAAAGAAAAAAAAAUCCUUAGAAUUUUUACCAAAAUUCUUCUUUUUUUUUUUCUCUGCGUUUAGGAAAUUUUUUGUUUUGCAAAUUGUGGUUUCUUUCGGGAUGGGUUUAUAUUCGUUUGGCUUGGGCAUUGUUCUUCUUCUUUUUAUUUCAUUGAAAAUAAGGCUUUUCAUUGCAGAAGAUAGAAGGAGCUCGCCGAACACCUGCAUCACUCGGACAAAGAAGCACGGUCGGUGGUAUGUUACUGCUGAUGAGGAUUCCAAGUUAGAUGCUGCUUUCAUGUUAUUAUGACACGCGGGCUUUGUUUUAUAGUGUGAAGAUGGUUUUGAGUUUUAUAGUUGUUAUUUUCAUUAGUUUGUUCUUAUGAUAUGCUGGCUUUGUUUUCUAGUUUGAAGAUGGUUUUGGCUUUUAAGUUAGCUGUUGGUUUCAUUAUUUCGUUCUUUUAUAGUGAUUUAUGCAAUUUUUUUCAAAUAUUUAGUAUAGUUGGUGGGGCUUGAAAGGAUGACAGGACACGUAUGUGAAAUCCUUCUACUGUAACUCAAUGACAUAGUUUAAACUUAAAUUUCUAUUUCCUUUACAAUAUCUCUAAAUAUAUUUUUUACAUUGUCACUCUUUUUAGCAUAAAAAGAGUGACAAAUUGCCUAGAUUUGGUGAAUUGUAAUGUGGGUAUGAUAUAGAAUCUGCGGUUGGUGUUGCUUGCUUUUGCAUUUGACCUUUUGUUCUUGGUUGCUCCCUGUCAUGGUAAAAUAUUUGUGAAUACAAUGGUUAUAAUAAGAUUUGUGGUUGUUUUACAUGAAAUCAAUAUCCUUGAAUGCACCUCUCAAUAUUUUGGUAUUGCAGAAUUUUUUUCUCUAAUAAUCAAUUGUUAUAACCUUAGUAUGCACGUAUUAGAAUGCACACUAUUUUUUGAGAACCAAAUAUGAAAAUAUGAGUUAGAUUGGCUUUUUACUAUCCACUUGCUUUUUAGUAUCCAUUUGCUGGCUUUUAAUUAUGUAUGCUUAUGCUUUGCUGGAAUUUUCUUCGAUGCACACUUUGUAAUUGUUCUGAACAUCAACUGUGAAGGCUUUAUUAGAUUCUAUUGAAUAUUGGAAGAAUAUUUAUGUGAGUUUGAUUGAUUUGUGAUUGCUUAUGUAGUUUUGCCAUAUAGUUUGCUCUCCUUUUUAUUGGCUUGCUUAUCUUUAGGUAGGAAAGUAAGGAGAAAAAGCUAGGUAUACUGUGUAGAACUGGUAGGUAAGAAUCUUUAUCUUUGAUGGUAUAAAUGGUUGUUUUUUUGGUUUCAUAAUCAAUUGGUUUUCUAUUGCACUAAUUUUGUCCAGAUUGCUUUUCGCUCUGAUGACUUGAAAAUUAUUAAUUUUGCUAUCUGAAAUGCUAAUCAGCUGAUAAGUUGUAUGUAUAAACCUUUUCUCUACUCUGCUUCGGCAAAUUGUGAUGUAUUUAUCAAGAAGUGGAUGCAUGCUGUUUAACUUUAGAAAUGUCUUCUUGAAGAUUUUUAAUUGUAACUUGUAUCCUGAACGUUCAUGUACUGUUCUUCUCAUGAUUUGAUGUAUGGACGUGCUUGACAAAGGAAACAUACAAGUGGCAAAGUAAGAGUUUCAGAUAUGUGAAUAGGGAUGCGGAUUUUUUCUAUGGACUUUGUGGUUAUUAUGCAUGGAUAUCAAUAUUAUUGCAUUGUUAUGAUUUUGCUGUGUUUUUGUGGCAUAUUUUGUAUUGUCUUGUAAUUUCUAAAUUAUUUCAAAAACAGAGCAUUGGAUUGUUUACUAUUGUUUUAGGAUCUGUUAUGAAAGUAUAAGAGUUGGGAUUGGUUUUGGUAUCAACUCUCUAGCUGUUGAUUAUGGUUGUUUGGCUAGAUAUACUUGUUAACCUCAGUUAUUUUUAUCUACUUGCAUCAGAAAGGUUUUAUUGGAUUCUGUUGAAAAUAGGGUCAAUAGCUAUGUAAGUUUGAUUUUGUCUUGGUUACGUUGUAUUUUAUUUUCAAUCUCUACAUUUGAUAUUCCAAAUGUAAAUGUAAAAUUUACUUUAUUAGUUAAGAUAUUAAUAUAAUUUAAUAAUAGAAGAAUAAACUUUUAAAAAAAAUGCCAAUAACUAAAUAUAAAUUUUUCAUAGAUUUAAUCGGAAUUUUCAAUACAAUUCUUAUGCUUGAAAUAUGAUGUUUUUAAAAAUGUACCAGCUAUGAAUGGUACUAUUUAUUGAAGUUAGGACUUGGUUUCAAAAUAUUGAGUUGGUGAACUAAAUUGUGGGUGCUAACUAGUUUAUGACUAUAUUAUUAUGUUUCCAUUGCAUUGUGCAAAACUCUAGCUAUGAAUGCUAUUAGUUUGGCAUUUGAUUUUUUUGUUUAUCCCCAUGCAGUUGUUCUGCAUGUGGAGCUUUAAGUUAGAUGCCGUGAUUUUUAGUUAAGACCUACAUAUUUAGGAAGAAAAUAUUAAACGGAUGAUUGGUUAGAUAAGACGGGUGGAAAGUAAGAUGGAAGGAAAAGAUAAUUAUAAUCUAGUUGUUCUACAUAUGCUUAUCUUUUAUGCAUAAUACCUUUCUUUUUGUGUAGUUUAGAGCUUAUCUUUUAUGCAUAAUGCAUUUCUUUUUGUGUAGUUCAGAGAUUAUCUUGUGAUUUGGAUCGGUCAGACAAAGUGGCAGUGCAAUUUGUGAUUGAGAAACUUCAGUCCCUGAUAGCCAAAAAAGCUUGGUUAGAUGAACAGUGCUUCUUAAUAUUGGUGUUGAUAAAAUGUUUUAGAUUUUCUUUGUUGGUUUUACUGCUAAGUCUUUUUUCUUUGUAUUUCCUUGAAGAAAAUCUAUUCUCGUGUUCUUAAAAUCCAUCUUGAAGCUUCUUAUUGAUGAUGUUUGGCAACAAUUUAAGUUUGGGAAUGAUGUUUCGAAAAUCUCUCAUGUUUGCUCAUUUGGUGUUUUCCAUUGGCAUGCCAAUAAAUAUCCGUUCCAAAACCAAAAAGAAAAUCAACUUUAUAUUAAGUACACACUAAAAACGUGAACAAGCUUUGAAACUUUAUUUUGAGAUUUAUUUAGCUAAUUUUGUUUUUUUAACAAUAAAGGCUUUUAAAUUACAUUAUUGAAUAUAAUUUUUUACUUAAGAUUGAAAAUUAAAAGAUUUAAUUUAUAAGGAUUAUUUGUAAAUGUCAUUACCAAUUAUUGCAACCUGCCUAAUCAACUAAAUUUAUAUGGCCUUUAAACUAAAUAAAAAAUAGAUAAUUCGUUGUUCGUUUAAAUGACACAUGUUAUCAAGAAUAUGCUUGCUCAUACUUGAAAAAUGGUAAAUGAAAAUCCUGGUUUGCUUCAUAGUUGAUAUAUGACAAGUGGAAUUGAUAUUCAUGCAUUUUUGUUCUUGGAUUUUAAGCACAUAAAUAUAAAUAAAUAUUAAACAAGAAAUUUUAAAUUGUUAAUCUUUAAUUCUAACUCACUACCAUAAUCAAUUAAACAAAAAAGUAUUUUAAUAAUGCUUCUUUAUCUUUUAUUCCCGGAGAUGAUUUUUUCUAUUUCGUCCAAAGUAAUUUAUGUAUCUCAAAUUUAAUAUGCUUUCUAUUUAUUUAUUAUUUUAUUUUUUUGGUUUUUUUUGUAAUACAUAUGGAUCGAAGAAAAGUCGCUACAUUCUUUUUGUUUCCAAAUGAUUCACAAUUAGAGUCUUUUUGUACGGAUUUUAUGUUGCUUUUGCUUAUGUAUAUGUACUGGGCAUAUAUAAGGCAAAAUCUUAGAGGUUAUCGGAAUCAAUUACCUAGGAAUGCAGGAUUGCGUAUAUCUUUUCUAAAUAGUCUGUUAGACAAUGAUGUUAAUUGUAUUAGUCAGCUUAGGAUGGAUAAGAGAACAUUUGAUACUUUGUGUCAGUUAUUAGACGAGGAUGGAUAUGUUAAAAGUGAUGGCAUUGUUACAUUGUAAGAGCAAGUGUGUAUAUUUCUGCACAUAAUUGCUCACCAUACAAAGAACCGUACAAUUAUCACUAGAUUUUUUAGAUUAGGAGAGACUAUGAGUCGAUAUUUCAAUUCUGUGUUGCAUGAAGUACUGCACUUACAUAAAAUUUUGUUGAGCCAUCCAGAACCUGUAUCAAAUAAUUGUUUGGAUGAUAGAUGGAAGAUAUUUAAGGUACGUUUGUGGAAUAGCUUGGUUAUUAAUAUUAUAGUUCAAUUAUUUGGAACAUUAUCUGAUGUUAGUAACUUUGUUAAUAACGUAGAAUUGUUUGGGAACUUUAGAAGAAACUUAUAUUAAGGUGAAUGUACCAAAAAUCGAUAAGCUAAGAUAUCGAACAAGAAAUGUUGGGAUAGGUACAAAUGUUUUAGGUGUAUGUAAUCUGAGUAUGGAAUUUAUAUUUGUAUUAUCUGGUUGGAAAGGUUCCACUUCGGGUUCAAGAGUACUCCGAGAUGCAUUAAGUAGGCCAACUGGGUUAAGAGUACCAACCGGUUGUUAUUACUUAGUGGAUGCUGGUUACACUAAUGGUGAAGGAUUUCUUGCACCAUAUAAAGGAACAAGAUAUCACCUUUCUGAGUGAAGAGAUGGUUGUGCAUCCAUAAAUCACGAAGAGUAUUUCAACAUGAAGCAUGCAUCUGCUAGGAAUGUCAUAGAAAGAUAUUUUGGGGUUCUUAAAAAGCGGUAGACAAUUUUAAAAAGUUCAUCUUUCUAUCCUAUUGCAAUAUAAAUUAAGAUCAUUACCACAUGGUACCUUGUACAUAGUCUUAUUAUAAGAGAAAUGAUAAUUGAUCCUGGAAAAGUUGAGUUUGAUAGGAGUGAAGAUGUUGACGUUCGUAUCGAGGAUGACAUUAUAGGAUUGAUUUCUUCCUCGAACCAAUGGAUUAACUGGAGAGAUGAUUUAGCUAAGCAAACGUUUGAUGAGUGGAGAUGUCGUUGUGGACAUUAGUGGUCGAUUGUUGUCCUUAAUACUGCUGUAAUUGUUUUAUAAUAUACUAUUUGUUAAACAUCUUGGAUCAUUUGUAUGAAAACCAAUUUAUAUUAUGUGCCAUUGUUGUCAUUCGGGAAUUAUUUUUUCCUAUUUGCUUGUUGUUAUUGUAUUGUUGAAAUCAUAAAAAUUUGUAUUUCAAUAGAAAUGGAAGUUGGAGGUAGCAGUCAUGAUAUCCGGGGGGUUAAAUCUAAACAUACAUGGAGUAAAGGGGAGGAAGAUGCUUUGCUGCUUAUUUUAGAUGAGGUUGUAGCUAGUGGGCAGUGGUUGGACACACGAUCAUUCAAGCCUGACACAAUUACUAUGAUUGAGAGGCGAUUGGCUGAGAUAUGUCCUAAUUCGGGGUUGCAAGCAAAUCCACACAUUGAGUCAAAGCUAAAAAAGUGGAAGAAACAAUAUGGUAUAAUAUACGAUUUGCUAAACAAAAGUGGCUUCGGAUGGAAUGACUC